GAGCAUUUCUAAAUGACUUGAAGCUCUGUCACGGCAUAAUCUCUUAUAAAUAAAUGUCAGUGUAGUCACUGAAUGCAGACUGGAUUUUUGCCUGACUACGGUGCUCAGCCUUCUAGACAAUAGUUAUGCUAAGGGAUUAUCUUUUAACAUUGUGCAGUUAUCUCCUUUGUUUGUUUUCUUUUUUCAUUAUUCACAUAAGCCAAGGGAAAUGAAAAGCAUCUUAUUUCAGGCAAAAAGGCCUGUGAAUGAUUAACUCUGGUUCCAUGCGUUGGGACUUUGCAUAGCAACCCCGUGGCUUGCAACGACAAAAAAGCUCAAGGCAGGAACAGCAGCCCAGGGACCUGAGACCAGCGUUCUCAAAUGAAGCCAGAUCUGCUGUUAGAGGAGAAUUCUUCUGUCCUAGCUGUGUCUCUGUGAUCUGUGGAUGAGGGUGGGAAAGCACCACUCAGUCAAUUGGGGUGUACAAAAUGGAGUUUGAGAAGGUCUCACAUCCAGGUUGUUUUGAAGCAAAGUCCAAGCAUUGUAUCACUUCAUCUGCAAAUAUUUCAAUAAGUACCCAAAAGUGGUUGGACUGAGUCCCAUGAAGCCAGAUCACUUCUGACUGCAAGGAGCUUGGAAAAGCAAGUAUCUGGAUCUUUUACCAGCUAAAUUUGGAGAAUUAUUGAUCAAAUUUGGAUCUCUGUGUGCUGUCCUCCAAUUUAAUACUUUCUGUGUUGCUGUUUUAUUUUCUUUCUUCUGGAACCUGGCAAAGUGCGUCAAGCGAUGAGGCUUCCUCUUUGAAGAUCACAGGUGAGAAGAUUAGGUGCUUUCUCAGAAGCCCAGCAACCUGAUGGGAGUGUGGAGUGAGCAAGACCCAAAUCGGAGCUUCAUCCCUGCAUGGUUCAUUUUGCUUAUUUGGCAAACUUGCCCUGCAGAAUCUACUCAAGCUUCCUCAGUUUCUCAAAUCAUUCUUGGGCAACAAAUGAACAAGAAAGAGGACGUCUUAUUAUCUGGUGUCUGGCUUGCUGAUUUAAUAACCUAGGAGACAGUGUUUGAAGAACACAAACUCUAAAGUCCUUCACUUAAAAAAAAAAAAAAACUUUCCCAAAUUGCUUACCAUUUGGAAAAAUUGCCUUACCUUCUUCAGUCAUCUCUGAUGUUGUCAUCCUCAGAGUAAGAAGUACGCAUUCAUAAGGAACCAUAACGUCCUUCAGGAAAUCCAGUACACCCUACAAUUUUACCUAAAACUUUGAUGUUGUUUUUUCUGAGCAUUUUACCUUCUAGGGAAAUGGAUCUCAUGCUGUUUAUCAGUUUCUGAAAGUUGUUAUUAAUCUCCCCUCAUCCCAAAAUUGAAGAACUUUGCUUAAAUCUUAGAAUCAGAACUUUGGCUCCAGUAAUAAAGACUUUUCAAUAUCUUUA
rnacentral:lncRNA from 10 species